rnacentral:lncRNA from 1 species
CAUAUCUUCAGUGUCUUAGGGGAAAAAAGAAUCCUUGUUUUGCCUUUCUCAUCGGCUCCCCCCAGUAUUCCUUCCCCUUGCAAUGGCCUUCUCUUCCAGGAAGGGCUGAAUCGAUUGAGCAAUUGCUUCCCACGGACAAGGACCUGGUUUGCUCUUCAGCUUAACCUCAGAGGCUGAAUCUACUCAUCAUUAUUUCUAGUUGUUUGGGAGGCGAAGGCGGGCCAGGAUAUUUUGCUCCAGAGGACUCCGAUUGCCUGCUCAAGGAAUAGAGUGAGCUGCUUGGCUGCCAAAAACUGGAGCCCACCAGGAGGAGCUUGGAAGUGGUCAGCAGCUUCUAGGCUGGCCAGAAUUAUACACAGCCAUCGCUUAUGGCAUUUCUAACCAUCUUUUAAAAAGAAAAUGUAGCUAUCUCGAUUUAUGAAGGGAGGGGAAAAGUCAAAAUCCACAGAUGGACAAUACCUUUAAAAUGACUAUCCAAAAUAUCCUUAAAGUGCACAACCUCUAGGGUUCAUCGGGUUAGCAAUAGGAGAGAAUGCAAAAUCUUUCACUUUUUUAACAGCACUUAGUCCAAAUGCAGAGUUUUGGAGAACACAAGAACUUGCACUCUUUUGCAUUGUUUGAGCUGUUUGCCCAGCGGUAGAUGAAGCAUUUCUCAGUCAAAUCAAUAACAAUGUGUCCUCAAUUCAAUUCCGACUUAUGGGGACCCAUUUCAGGGUUUUCUAGGUAGAGAUUACUCCCAAGUGGCUUAUCAUUCCCUCCUUCCCACGGUGCCCUGGGACUGUGCGGCUGGACCAAGGCCACAGAGGCUGGCUCUACUCUUGGGGGUAACAGCGGGGAACGGAAUUCCCAACCCCUGGGUCCGCAGAGGUUGAGAGUUCGGUUCCAGCCAGCGCCCAGCAUUUCUAGAAAGCCACAAAAAAGAAGCCACCACGGCGUGGGCCGGAAAGGCGCGACCGAGAUCCUCUAGAUUAGAACUGUGAGCCUCUGAGCGGCGCUCCAAAGUAGGGCGGGGGGGUCUCCCCUCUGGGGCAGUUGAGCGGGAGGCCGCGAAAGGAUCUCGGAAGAGCCCCGCUGCUCUUUCCCGGGAAAGGCGAGAGGCCAGAGAGUCCGCACUCGCUCCUUCCGACGUGAAAGGCUUAAUCGCGGGAGCCUUCUGCUCAAAAAGACAAGACAGAGAUAUUUCCUUAGCUACUUUUCCUGGCUCUUUCCAGGCAUCCCCCUCCCCUGCCUCUCCAUGCAAAACUUUGCUUUUGGGCCUGGCUUCUUCAGAGACUGGCUGGCAGGCUGUCAAGCUUAACGAAAAAGAAUAGAU